UCAAGGCAGAAAAAUAUCCAUCGCCCGUGAUCAGGCCCUGGGCCAUGGACGGGGGCUGUUGGAGGGAGGCAUGGCUGAAGAGCACCCCUGCAGCUUCGUGGCAUGGGUCUGCAGCUCACCUGCCCCCGGAAGGUACAAGGGAAGUGGUUUCCCACAUUAUGAAAUCAGCAUUGCCUUUAACAGCCAAAUCUACCUUCAGUAUGAACACUGAGUGCUGGGAUCGGGCAGAAUAAAUAAGAAGAAAGGAUGGGAAUUUAACAUGUCAGAAAUGAAAUCUUUCUUUUUCUGAAACAAAAAGGGGAAGCUGCUGGACACAGUAGCUAGUGGAUCUCAAGAACAAUAGCACAGCAAUGAUAGCAAAAGCAGUUACCACCACCCCACCACUAAAGAAAGACUUCAUAGGAAACAUUAAAAGAAAAGAACUUCACAGAUACACCACUUUAAUUACUGCAAAGAGGUCUGUAUUUCUGAACAUAAAACAAGCAACAUCCAGCUACCGCAAUCAUAGUGAUUUUUGAUUAUAUGGGGGGAAAACUAGGAUGUUGAGGAAUUAAGGAUCCUUGUGGCCAUUGAUGUAGUGGUUUCAAUCUACUUGCAGUUUUCCCAUGCCACUUUCAACAAAACAAGCAAAAAAGCAGUAAUAGCCAUUGAAAGGAAUAACCAUAAUUAUUAUCAGGCGAUAUCUUUAUUGGGUCAGUUGAAGGUUUACCUAGUAGUAGUCAUCAUUCACACGUCCAAGAAUUCUUCAUGGAGCAACAUCAUUAAAACACAGGAAAGUAGAACUGACACUUGAGUUACAUCUCUAGCUUCUUGAGUGCCUUCUGGCCUGAGAGUCAACAUUGUUAGUAAAAGCAGGUUUUCAUGGAAUGAAAAAGAGUCUCCAGAAAUGCAAAUUGAGCCUUAUUUGGUGCAGGAUUUUCGAUUGUACAGGAAUGUUUCUUGAAGUUUAAUUCAAAGUUGGAUGCAUCAAAUGAUGAAGUCAUUCACAGGGUUUAUUUUUUGGGAAUACUGUAGAAGCUCACAUGAUAGGGGAAAUCCCUUUUCUUGAAACAUGCUUUGAAGUUAUGGGCUAAAAAUGAUUUUAAAAUAUUUUGUGUUAUGAAGACAACACGAACUUUCUUGGAGAAUGUCUUAUUUUGAUGGCUGCCUUUCAUCUUUUGUAUUCUGCUGCUUGUAGUAAUUAGGCAGUUGAGAGUGAUUUGCUUUCAACUAAUUCUUGCUGGCUUCUUGCUGGCUUUUGAA